GCUCCGAGGAUUCCUAUAUAAAGCACCGGGAGGGCGUCGGUUCGCUCUUUCGCCUGGACCUCGAGGAAGUAGGAGCUAUGGAACUAAGAUUUGUGUUACUAUUGCGGAGACACAAAAUGAGCUCUGUGAUUAUGAAAACACCAACAUACGUGGAAAAUUAUUCUAUGGAGAAGAGUGGGUUUUCUUAGGCUUGAAGCUACUUUAUCCUAAAGGUUAUAGCAGCUGAAAUCCAGGCAGCAGUUCCUUAUUCCUAACAUACAUUAAUUAAGCAGGUGGAAUGUUUUGAAUUGGGAAUGGACGGAGAGCCAAGCCUGUAGGCGGAAGACUCAAUUCCUUUUUACAGAGCCUAUUGCAAAAACAGUGAUAAGAAGUAAAUGCAUCAAACAAGGUUAUCUGGAAUCUACCUGAAUGAAGUUCCAGCGUCCAUUAAGGAAUAUCAGAUUAAAAAUAAAGUAUAAAUGAAAACCUUUCUUGCAGUUAAAUGUUUAUAACAAUUAUAUGUACAGUAGGUUUGCUAUAUUCAAAGUUUGAUGUUCUCAAAUGGUUCUUUUUCAUGUCAUGGGAUCUUAUGUGGCUCUUGAGAAUGAAGAUUGAAGCAGUGUUUCAGAAUAAAGCUUUAUAAUCACU